GUGACAGCCGCCGCGGUAAUACAGAGGUCUCAAGCGUUGUUCGGAUUCAUUGGGCGUAAAGGGUGCGUAGGUGGCGGGGUAAGUCAGGUGUGAAAUUUCGGAGCUUAACUCCGAAACUGCAUUUGAUACUGCCUUGCUUGAGGACUGGAGAGGAGACUGGAAUUCACGGUGUAGCAGUGAAAUGCGUAGAUAUCGUGAGGAAGACCAGUGGCGAAGGCGGGUCCCUGGACAGUUCCUGACACUGAGGCACGAAGGCCAGGGGAGCAAACGGGAUUAGAUACCCGCGUAGUCC
rnacentral:rRNA from 1 species